CAGUCGCCACGGUAAUACGUAUGUCACAAGCGUUAUCCGGAUUUAUUGGGCGUAAAGCGCGUCUAGGUGGUUAUGUAAGUCUGAUGUGAAAUGCAGGGCUCAACUCUGUAUUGCGUUGGAAACUGUGUAACUAGAGUACUGGAGAGGUAAGCGGAACUACAAGUGUAGAGGUGAAAUUCGUAGAUAUUUGUAGGAAUGCCGAUGGGGAAGCCAGCUUACUGGACAGAUACUGACGCUAAAGCGCGAAAGCGUGGGUAGCAAACAGGAUUAGAUACCCCCGUAGUCCCUGUCUCUUAUACAC
rnacentral:rRNA from 1 species